GUAAAAAGUCGUAACAAGGUCUCCGUUGGUGAACCAGCGGAGGGAUCAUUACCGAGUUUACAACUCCCAAACCCCUGUGAACAUACCACUUGUUGCCUCGGCGGAUCAGCCCGCUCCCGGUAAAACGGGACGGCCCGCCAGAGGACCCCUAAACUCUGUUUCUAUAUGUAACUUCUGAGUAAAACCAUAAAUAAAUCAAAACUUUCAACAACGGAUCUCUUGGUUCUGGCAUCGAUGAAGAACGCAGCAAAAUGCGAUAAGUAAUGUGAAUUGCAGAAUUCAGUGAAUCAUCGAAUCUUUGAACGCACAUUGCGCCCGCCAGUAUUCUGGCGGGCAUGCCUGUUCGAGCGUCAUUUCAACCCUCAAGCACAGCUUGGUGUUGGGACUCGCGUUAAUUCGCGUUCCUCAAAUUGAUUGGCGGUCACGUCGAGCUUCCAUAGCGUAGUAGUAAAACCCUCGUUACUGGUAAUCGUCGCGGCCACGCCGUUAAACCCCAACUUCUGAAUGUGACC
rnacentral:rRNA from 1 species